GGGAGCAUAGCUCAGCUGGGAGAGCACCUGCCUUACAAGCAGGGGGUCACAGGUUCGAUCCCUGUUGUUCCCACCA
rnacentral:tRNA from 4 species